rnacentral:rRNA from 1 species
UACGUAGGGGGCAAGCGUUGUCCGGAAUUAUUGGGCGUAAAGAGCGUGUAGGCGGUCCGGUAAGUCAGCUGUGAAAGUCAAGGGCUCAACCCUUGAAAGCCGGUUGAUACUGUCGGGCUAGAGUCCGGAAGAGGCGAGUGGAAUUCCCGGUGUAGCGGUGAAAUGCGCAGAUAUCAGGAGGAACACCGGUGGCGAAGGCGGGAUCCUGGGCCAGUACUGACGCUGAGGAGCGAAAGCGUGGGGAGCAAACAGG